AUUGCACGCUGGCGUCAGGCCUAACACAUGCAAGUCGAACGAGUGGCGGACGGGUGAGUAAUGUCUGGGAAACUGCCUGAUGGAGGGGGAUAACUACUGGAAACGGUAGCUAAUACCGCAUACCAUCGGAUGUGCCCAGAUGGGAUUAGCUAGUAGGUGGGGUAACGGCUCACCUAGGCGACGAUCCCUAGCUGGUCUGAGAGGAUGACCAGCCACACGGGAAAGGAGUGACGGUCCAGACUCCUACGGGAGGCGGCAGGGGGGAAUAUUGAAGUGUGGGCGCAAGCCUGAUGCAGGCAUGGCGCGUGGAGGAAGAAGGAAUACGGGUUGUAAAGCACUUACGGCGUGGAGGCGUUACACGCAGAAGAAGAACCGGCUAACUCCGUGCUAGCAGCCGCGGUAAUAC
rnacentral:rRNA from 1 species